CGGCGCUUUAGAGAGGAUGGAAAUGAAUGAAACGUGUCCUUGCCAGGGACAGGUCCGAGUCCUCACACUCCAAGGCAACUCCACCUCCAUAUCAUUUUCCUGACUGGUCAUUCGAACCUCUGUGAGAGUGGACAAGUGAGUGGAACGGCCACGAAGACCUUCCCUUGGAGCAGGAACUUUGGAGUUGACUGAUCGACGUUUUUGUUUCUGGACAGUUACAUUUUCCUGCAAGAGCAGAUUGUCCUUUGGGUGUAAGGGAAGAAUCUGUAAAAGCUCAGGAUUUAUCGCGGCCACAUCAUCAAAAUCAAUCUGAGCAUGCUUUAUUCUCA